UACGAAGGGGGCUAGCGUUGCUCGGAAUCACUGGGCGUAAAGCGCACGUAGGCGGAUAUUUAAGUCAGGGGUGAAAUCCCGGGGCUCAACCCCGGAACUGCCUUUGAUACUGGGUAUCUCGAGUCCGAGAGAGGUGAGUGGAAUUCCGAGUGUAGAGGUGAAAUUCGUAGAUAUUCGGAGGAACACCAGUGGCGAAGGCGGCUCACUGGCUCGGUACUGACGCUGAGGUGCGAAAGCGUGGGGAGCAAACAGGG
rnacentral:rRNA from 1 species